UAGAGUUUGAUCAUGGCUCAGAUUGAACGCUGGCGGCAGGCCUAACACAUGCAAGUCGAGCGGAAACGAGAAUAGCUUGCUAUUCGGCGUCGAGCGGCGGACGGGUGAGUAAUGCCUGGGAAUAUGCCCUGAUGUGGGGGAUAACUAUUGGAAACGAUAGCUAAUACCGCAUAAUCUCUUCGGGGUAAAGAGGGGGACCUUCGGGCCUCUCGCGUCAGGAUUAGCCCAGGUGGGAUUAGCUUGUUGGUGAGGUAAUGGCUCACCAAGGCGACGAUCCCUAGCUGGUUUGAGAGGAUGAUCAGCCACACUGGAACUGAGACACGGUCCAGACUCCUACGGGAGGCAGCAGUGGGGAAUAUUGCACAAUGGGCGAAAGCCUGAUGCAGCCAUGCCGCGUGUGUGAAGAAGGCCUUCGGGUUGUAAAGCACUUUCAGCAGUGAGGAAGGUUGGUAAGUUAAUACCUUAUCAGCUUGACGUUAGCUGCAGAAGAAGCACCGGCUAACUCCGUGCCAGCAGCCGCGGUAAUACGGAGGGUGCGAGCGUUAAUCGGAAUUACUGGGCGUAAAGCGCAUGCAGGUGGUCUGUUAAGCAAGAUGUGAAAGCCCGGGGCUCAACCUCGGAACAGCAUUUUGAACUGGCAGACUAGAGUACUGUAGAGGGGGGUAGAAUUUCA
rnacentral:rRNA from 1 species